UUUCCGUAGGUGAACCUGCGGAAGGAUCAUUAAUGAGAUGUCAUGGGGUUCGAUGCUGGCAGCCAGUUUUUGGACGCAUGUGCUUGCCCUAACAAUCAUCUUCUUCCAAACACCUGUGCACAUUUUUGAGGGAGUCUUGAGUUGGUUGCCGCUCUUGGGUGAUUUUCUCACAUUCCCUUAAAUCAUUAUACGCUAUUAACAAUGUUGAACGUGCUCUGUGCCGCAAGGCCAUUAAUAUAAUACAACUUUUAACAACGGAUCUCUUGGCUCUC
rnacentral:misc_RNA from 1 species